AUGAUCAGGUAGAUAGGUCAGGAGUGGAAGUACAGUGAUGUAUGGAGCGGACUGAUACUAAUCGAUCGAGGACUUAACCACA
rnacentral:rRNA from 1 species